rnacentral:tRNA from 1 species
GGUAGGAUGACCGAGACUUAGGUGGUGGGUUGUAGCCCCACAAACAGAGGUUCAAAUCCUCUUCCUACCA